rnacentral:rRNA from 1 species
UACGAAGGUGGCAAGCGUUGUUCGGAUUUACUGGGCGUACAGGGAGCGUAGGCGGUUGGGUAAGCCCUUCGUGAAAUCUCCGGGCCUAACCCGGAAAGUGCGGAGGGGACUGCUCGGCUAGAGGAUGGGAGAGGAGCGCGGAAUUCCCGGUGUAGCGGUGAAAUGCGUAGAGAUCGGGAGGAAGGCCGGUGGCGAAGGCGGCGCUCUGGAACAUUUCUGACGCUGAGGCUCGAAAGCGUGGGGAGACAAAGCAGG